rnacentral:snoRNA from 1 species
GUUGCUUCAUAUGGUGAACUCUUUCUUAAAACUGAAGUGAGGGAUGUUCAAGUUUCUGAAGCAUAAAUGAAUAGUCAGUAUUAAACAACAUGGUGUAAUUCAACUACAUCUUACUACCUGUCUCCUGCUAUAUUA